rnacentral:tRNA from 1 species
GCCUGGGUGGCUCAGUCGAUUGAGCGUCUGACUUCAGCUCAGGUCAUGAUCUCAUGGGUUCGAGCCCCGCCUCGGGUU